rnacentral:rRNA from 1 species
UACGUAGGGUGCGAGCGUUGUCCGGAAUUAUUGGGCGUAAAGAGCUCGUAGGCGGCUUGUCACGUCGGUCGUGAAAGCCCGGGGCUUAACCCCGGGUCUGCAGUCGAUACGGGCAGGCUAGAGUGUGGUAGGGGAGAUCGGAAUUCCUGGUGUAGCGGUGAAAUGCGCAGAUAUCAGGAGGAACACCGGUGGCGAAGGCGGAUCUCUGGGCCAUUACUGACGCUGAGGAGCGAAAGCGUGGGGAGCGAACAGG